GCAUCUGAUGAUGAUUAAAACAUAAACUUUCGUUCUUCUGAGAUUUUUUUGUGCGGAAGAUAUAUGGAGACCUGAACUGAAGAUGC